rnacentral:lncRNA from 1 species
UUGUUUUUACUUAAUAUGGACAUUGUCGGUAUUUUCCUAUUUGUUGCUGCAUUGUUGAGUUAGUUGUGUUUUCUCAUUAUUUGUUGAUUUUUUUUUCUUUUCUAUUAAGUUUAGCAUGGCUGAUCAAAGAACUCUGAGAGAACUUGUUGUCCGUAAUGUAUAUUAUAAUGCUUUGUGUAUUGAAUAUCCUAUUGUUGUCAAUUC